AAACAGAAAUGUAGAAUGACAGUCGCUCAAUCUGUUGCAAGCAAUGACUUUCAAACAGCAAGUGCUAAAGAAGCCAAACACGCAGAAUUACAAGUCCAACGCUGAAACUGCUGGAAAAGAACAGUGAAAAAGAUACAGGUCUUCAUUCUUGAUGGGAUUCAGAAACUGAACUACUGUGUCUUCACAGACAAAUAAUCCAAAAUAUGCCUAAGAGUGUGGAGUAAACAGCAUCAAGCCUCUCUUUAAUAGGGAACUCAUCUACAAAAACAAACACUUGUUAUACUUUUAUGAAUUAUCAAGUUGUACAACACACAGCAAUAAGGAUUUAGACAAACAAUCACAGAUUUUAUUAAUUUUAUUGUUGUGUCUAAUAUAUAUAGAAACAACUUGUGUUGUAAAAGAAAGGAUGACAGCAUAUCUCUUUAUCACGUGCCAGUAUAGGCCCUGACUGCACGUGAGAACAUUUGAAUUAUCUGGCACGAGGCCUCACACGUCAUACUUCAACUGACACAACGGUCUCGAUGGUAGGAAUAAGCAAAAGCUCCUUUAAAUUUCGUCAUUUUUUUUAUACACAUCCCGUUUAUUUUGUAGUUAAUUGUUAGAUAAGUUAGUAAUUUCGUAAAUUUUUCGUUACAGGGUAAGAUUUCGUUACCAUAUACAGUAAAUAUUGGUUCAAGAGGGCAGUUUGAUAACUCAGUCGAGGUUUGUAAAUGGGGUUUCUGUUCCUGCAGUCUUUCAGGGGUGCUGGCGCGUAUGACGAUGCGGACAUGAACAGCAUACUACAGUAUACCGCCACCUACUGUACUGUAGUACAAUAACGUCUUUUAAACAUCUAAACAUGUCCUCCAAAAAGGUUUCCUGUGCUGUUUUGCUCCAUUUUACUGAACAAAAUAAGGCUGAGGUAGCACCAUCCUUGUGGUUAGAGUGAAAGAAUGUGGGUAUUGAGACCAAAAUAAACAAUGUGCCAUUCUGGACAAACAGCUGUGGACAAUAUGCAGUCAGAGUAGCCCAUUUUCUCACACAGACCUGAGGAUAAGAUUUCCAGUUUAAAAGUGAAGAAAAUGAAUCAUUAUUAACAGCAAAUAGGAGUAUUUCUCAGCUGAAAAGCCAGGUGAAACUAUAAGGUCACUAUGAUUCACUUUCAUAUUAUCAUUCUUUUCAGAUUUUUUUCCCUGUGUUUUUUUUGUUAGAUGAGGAGCAACCAGUAAGAAAAAGCAAAAAGAUGUUUUGAUGUUGCCUGAGGCACCUUAUUUUCCAUUUCAUGCACAAUCACAAAUGCAGCACAUCAAUCAAUUUCUUCCAACCAGCGAAUCAAGAAAUCUUGGAGUGGAGAAUCAUUCUGAAAGUAGACCAAAUCCAGGACAACAUCACAACAGUGGUCGGAAAAAUGCAGCAAGCCAAGCUGACUUUCAAAAGAUGAUUCGUUAUCUGUUUCUUCAGAGGGGAGGCAGUUUGGGAGAUGGGAAUUAGGAGGAUGCUACAGUUACACAGGGCAAAUUUCAGCAGCUCAGUUUCAAACUUGCAACUAACAUUGAGUUAAACUGGUCAGGGUGGAAGACCAGCUGACGUACCAGUUUUGCCAGGUUAAAGGACCAGCUUAAACCAGCUAAGACAGCCAACCAACUUAGCCAAGGUGGUAUAUGCUGGUGGGUCAGCUGGUCUUCCCGCCUGACCAGCUAAGACCAGCUACAAAGUGGCCAAAACCUCUGUAAAACAAUCCUGCUACACCAGCCUGACCAGCUGAAACCAUACUGGGAGUUAGAAGACCACGGAAAUAUUUGACAUCGGAGUCCAGCAGACAGCCAGAGACACGCACACACACGCAGCUGAAGCGCGUUUGACUGACGCGUACGGGAGAUCCGGCACGCGCACGGGAGCUCGCGCACGCUCACACAAACACGGAGCACAGGAUAAUUACAACUGUUUAAUUAAAAUAAAAGAACUUUGUGGUAUACAA